GGACGAACGCUGGCGGCGUGCCUAAUACAUGCAAGUCGAACGGUCUUUUCUAUGGAAGCUUGCUUCCACUGAGAAGAUAGUGGCGAACGGGUGAGUAACACGUGGGUAACCUGCCCAUAAGAGGGGGAGUAACAUCCGGAAACGGGUGCUAAUACCGCAUAGUUUUCUUGAUCGCAUGAUCGGGAAGGAAAGACGGCCUUUGUGCUGUCGCUUAUGGAUGGACCCGCGGCGUAUUAGUUAGUUGGUGAGGUAACGGCUCACCAAGACGAUGAUACGUAGCCGACCUGAGAGGGUGAUCGGCCACAUUGGGACUGAGACACGGCCCAAACUCCUACGGGAGGCAGCAGUAGGGAAUCUUCCGCAAUGGACGAAAGUCUGACGGAGCAACGCCGCGUGAGUGAAGAAAAGGUUUUUCGGAUCGUAAAACUCUGUUGUCAGAGAAGAACAAGUUGGAGAGUAACUGCUCCAGCCUUGACGGUAUCUGACCAGAAAGCCACGGCUAACUACGUGCCAGCAGCCGC
rnacentral:rRNA from 1 species